rnacentral:SRP_RNA from 1 species
GCCGGGUGUGGUGGCGGGUGCCUGUAAUCCCAGCUACUAGGGAGGCUGAGGCAGGAGAAUUGCUUGAGCCUGGGAGGCAGAAGUGUAGUGAGCUGACAUCAGGCCACUGCACUCCAGCCUGGGUGACAGAGUGAGACUCUGUCUCAA